ACGCGAGUGCGAUAAGGGGACUCCGAGUGCGAGGGCAUAUAGUCCUCGCUUUUCACGACCGUAAGGUGGUCGUAGAAUAAGUGCUGGGCAAGACCGGUGCCAGCCGCCGCGGUAAUACCGGCAGCACGAGUGAUGACCGCUAUUAUUGGGCCUAAAGCGUCCGUAGCUGGCCACGCAAGUCUAUCGGGAAAUCCGCGCGCUUAACGCGCGGGCGUCCGGUGGAAACUGCGUGGCUUGGGACCGGAAGACCAGAGGGGUACGUCCGGGGUAGGAGUGAAAUCCCGUAAUCCUGGACGGACCACCGGUGGCGAAAGCGCCUCUGGAAGACGGAUCCGACGGUGAGGGACGAAAGCUCGGGUCACGAACCGGAUUAGAUACCCGGGUAGUCCGAGCUGUAAACGAUGUCUGCUAGGUGUGGCACAGGCUACGAGCCUGUGCUGUGCCGUAGGGAAGCCGUGAAGCAGACCGCCUGGGAAG
rnacentral:rRNA from 1 species